rnacentral:sRNA from 1 species
AGUGAGCACAGAGCUCCUUGCCAGUAGGCGAUGCAAGUUAUCUCUGGGGCCCGGAGGACACGAGUGAGGACCGGGCACCAAUCAGGUUCUCGCUCUGCGCCUGCCUUUGUUCUCACUCGGGAGCAGGUUGCGGGCGUCUAGCAUCCGGAACCCGCAUUCGACUCGGACACGCAUUGCUAGCCCCUUCGGGAGACCUGGCUCCCCUACCCGUCUGUCCCCCCACCUCGGUCAGCCUGCGUUUUCCCCAGUCAAGUCUGCCUUCUCUCCGCGGAACGUGGACGCUAAAACCCUGACUCACCAUUUUAAGCUCUAGAAGAGUGCUGGAAUGAAUCCAUUCAUCUUUAAAUACUUAACUGCUUCUACUACAAUGAGUACUACUGCCAGUUUCCACUAAUAAUAGCAGUACUCAUGGCUGCCAUUUCCAGAGUACUCACUAGGAUAAAAGAAUCAGAGUGUCUCAACCCUUGACAAGAGGACCAAGUGCCUUUAUUCCAGAGAAGGAAGUUGUCCAAGCAAACACAGUGGAUGAACGUACUAACU